ACUCCUACGGGAGGCAGCAGUGGGGAAUUUUGGACAAUGGGCGAAAGCCUGAUCCAGCAAUGCCGCGUGAGUGAAGAAGGCCUUCGGGUUGUAAAGCUCUUUUGUCAGGGAAGAAACGGUGAGAGCUAAUAUCUCUUGCUAAUGACGGUACCUGAAGAAUAAGCACCGGCUAACUACGUGCCAGCAGCCGCGGUAAUACGUAGGGUGCAAGCGUUAAUCGGAAUUACUGGGCGUAAAGCGUGCGCAGGCGGUUUUGUAAGUCUGAUGUGAAAUCCCCGGGCUCAACCUGGGAAUUGCAUUGGAGACUGCAAGGCUAGAAUCUGGCAGAGGGGGAUAGAAUUCCACGUGUAGCAGUGAAAUGCGUAGAUAUGUGGAGGAACACCGAUGGCGAAGGCAGCCCCCUGGGUCAAGAUUGACGCUCAUGCACGAAAGCGUGGGGAGCAAACAGGAUUAGAUACCCCAGUAGUCCCAUG
rnacentral:rRNA from 1 species